AUCCUUUUAUAGUUUAUAAGCGUAAUGAUUGGGUGUUCAUGCUCUUGUGUGACAUGCGUCUCCCAUAAACCUUGUUACAACAUCGGCACAUUGCCCAUCUGACA